CUAUGAUUUAUAUUUUAAAUGGCUGCAGUAUUUUGACUGUACAAAGGUAGCAUAAUCAUUUGUCUCUUGAUUAGAGGCUUGUAUGAAUGGUUGGAUGAGAAAUUUACUUUCUUUAUUAUAUAUAAAAAAUUUAAAUUUUUAGUUAAAAGGCUAAAAUAUUAUUAUAGGACGAGAAGACCCUAUAGAACUUUAUUUUCUUUUUAUAUAAAUUUUUUAGUUAAAUAUAAAUUUAUAUAUUUAUGUUUAUUUUGUUGGGGUGAUUGAAAAAAUAAUAUAACUUUUUCUAUUUUUUUCAUUUAUAUAUGUAUUUUUGAUCCUUUAUUAAGGAUAAUAAGAUUAAGUUACCUUAGGGAUAACAGCGUUAUUUUUUUGGAGAGUUCAUAUUGAUAAAAAAGUUUGCGACCUCGAUGUUGGAUUAAAAUAAGUAAUAGGGGCAGAAUAUUAUUAACUGGGUCUGUUCGACCUUUAAAUUUUUACGUGAUCUGAGUUCA
rnacentral:rRNA from 1 species